rnacentral:tRNA from 1 species
ACUCAGGCAGUUUAAACAAAACACCAGUCUUGUAAGCCGAAAACUGAAAAUUAAAAACCUUCUCUGAGUU